GGGCGAUUAGCUCAGUGGUAGAGCGUUCGGUUCACAUCCGAAAGGCCGCUGGUCCGAUCCCAGCAUCGCCCA
rfam:Parcubacteria (Magasanikbacteria) bacterium GW2011_GWA2_50_22 TY58_C0004, whole genome shotgun sequence.